AGAAUCUAGCUUCAGGUCGGGGACAACCACUGGAAACGGUGGCUAAUACCGGAUGUGCCGAAAGGUGAAAGAUUUAUUGCCUGAAGAUGAGCUCGCGUCUGAUUAGCUAGUUGGUGUGGUAAGAGCGCACCAAGGCGACGAUCAGUAGCUGGUUUGAGAGGAUGAUCAGCCACACUGGGACUGAGACACGGCCCAGACUCCUACGGGAGGCAGCAGUGGGGAAUUUUCCGCAAUGGGCGAAAGCCUGACGGAGCAAUACCGCGUGAGGGAGGAAGGCUCUUGGGUUGUAAACCUCUUUUCUCAGGGAAUAAAAAAAUGAAGGUACCUGAGGAAUAAGCAUCGGCUAACUCCGUGCCAGCAGCCGCGGUAAUACGGAGGAUGCAAGCGUUAUCCGGAAUGAUUGGGCGUAAAGCGUCCGCAGGUGGCACUGUAAGUCUGCUGUUAAAGAGCAAGGCUCAACCUUGUAAAGGCAGUGGAAACUACAGAGCUAGAGUACGUUCGGGGCAGAGGGAAUUCCUGGUGUAGCGGUGA
rnacentral:rRNA from 1 species